rnacentral:rRNA from 1 species
GACUCUCGGCAACGGAUAUCUACGCUCUCGCAUCGAUGAAGAACGUAGCGAAAUGCGAUACCUGGUGUGAAUUGCAGAAUCCCGCGAACCAUCGAGUCUUUGAACGCAAGUUGCGCCCGAGGCCACUCGGCCG